UUACCUGACUGCUCUGCUGGAUGAAAUUCUGCAGACAUCUAAUUUAUCAAUGAUGAUAUUGAAGGUAUUUUCCAACCUUAAUGAUUCUGUGAUUCUAAUUGCAGCGCUCCCUAAUUAAAAGUCAGUGAUGUGGCUUUGGCAGCUACAAGGCAGGUCCCCCAGAACAAUGCAGUUCUGGUUCAGAUGACUUCUUCCCAUGGGAUAAUAAUCUCUCCAAGCAAACCCGUCCUGACCAAAGCCCAGAGGAGCAGCCAGGUGCCAUCAGGAAUGUAAAAGAGCUGUGGACUUCCCCCAACCAUCUGAGUGCUGUUCCCAGCCCGCCACGCUCCUCCUGCCGACACCCAGUGCCUGUUCUUGCCGUCGCCCCCGCACCCGGAGCCGUUAUGGUGCUGCCGUAUGGAAGGAUUGGUGGACAACUUCUCACUGGGGGACCUUCCUCCAUCCCUCCCACCACAGGGACCCUCGUCCAUCCAGGACCCCAACCCAGGAGCGGUGUCGCGGUGAGCGUUUGUGACCCGAACUUGGCAGCUGUGCUGACUCACGACAGCUCGUCACUGAAACGGCCGAAAAAACGACCGAAAAAGGGACGCUGACUCAUGUGUUUGCCUUCCCCACCCCGGCAGGAAUGUGAAAGUGCUUGGCUCCAAGAAAACGCUGGCGUUUUCCCUGCAGGCAGAGCAAAGCCCCAUGGAACCACUCGCCUGCUGGUGCCCCACUGACCC